UUAAGGUGAAACCGCGAAAGGSUCAUUAAAUCAGUUAUGGUUCCUUAGAUCGUACCCACAAUUACUUGGAUAACUGUGGUAAUUCUAGAGCUAAUACAUGCAAACAGAGCUCCGACCGGAGACGGAAGGAGUGCUUUUAUUAGAUCAAAACCAAUCGGUGGCGGGUUCGCCCGUUAUCGUACAACUUGGUGACUCUGAAUAACUUUACGCUGAUCGCACGGUCAUCGCACCGGCGACGCAUCUUUCAAAUGUCUGCCUUAUCAACUGUCGAUGGUAGGUUCUGCGCCUACCAUGGUUGUAACGGGUAACGGGGAAUCAGGGUUCGAUUCCGGAGAGGGAGCCUGAGAAACGGCUACCACAUCCAAGGAAGGCAGCAGGCGCGCAAAUUACCCACUCCCGGCACGGGGAGGUAGUGACGAAAAAUAACGAUACGGGACUCAUCCGAGGCCCCGUAAUCGGAAUGAGUACACUCUAAACCCUUUAACGAGGAUCAAUUGGAGGGCAAGUCUGGUGCC
rnacentral:rRNA from 1 species